AAGUCCCCACUCCACCCCUCCCAGAAGUCCAGCCAGCUUCACCUCCCAUUGGCAUUUGCCCCUGGACUUUGCACCUAGCCAGGGCAGUCCCACCGCCAGGGGCUUGGCAAGUCCGUGCCCACCAGGAACCCUCGCCGGCCCAGGAGCGCCCGUGCCUCCCUGUCCACACCUCACAGCCAGCAGAGGGAGCUGGUUCCGGCCUCGGCCGGCCCCAGAGAGGGGCCCCACAGCGCUGUGGCGGGCAGAAGAGCUAUUUGAGCAGGGCCAGAGAGGACGCUGAGGCCAAGGAGGCACUGAGAGGGAGCCAGGGCUGCUAACACAUUGUCACCUCUCACUGGGAUUACAGUGAAGUUCUGCAACAACAGAAAAUGUGUGACAAAAAUGCCAGAAUUAUUAUAGUCUCCCUUUAGUUCCUGAAUAUCAUUAAGAAAAGAAAAUUAAUCUGCUACUCUUAGAAGAGUUCCAGGGCUAUGAAUAACUAUUCUAUGAAAAAAUAAUAUCACAGUGAAUUUACUUCAUUUCCCUAAAACAUCUAAGUAUAUAGUAAAAAGAGAGAGUAUUCCCUCCAGACAAAGGCUUUCAAGCAACCACAGGAGAAAAUGCCCUGUGUAGGGAUAAUGAAUAUUAAUCUAAAAUAAUUUUUUCUAAUAUAUGGUUUAAUUCCAUCGC